rnacentral:lncRNA from 1 species
GGUUAGAGAGUCUUUCUUUUUUCAUUUCAACAUCAGUUGAAAGUACUACCCGUUUCCUUUUCAAUGCCAUAUUACACAUUAUUAUAUCGGCACUUUAAUUCUUUGAGGUCGAAUUUCGGGAUAUACAUAACUAAUAAGUAAUAUUAAAAUAGGUAUAAUAGGGAAUUUGGACGGUUAUAAAUUCUUCUUGAACGUUGUUUUGAACAAGUUGAACGAACCAUCCAAUAUGUCAAAAAAUUGGGGUCAUUAAAGGUUUACUAUUUAGAGCACUAACAUUAAGUAGUAAAAAAUUCCACGCUGAAAAUAGGAAAAAAAUUGAAUUAAUUUAAAAAAAUAAUAAUUAUCCCACGAGUCUCAUUCAUAUGGUGUUCAAUAAGUUUAAAAUAGACAAAGAUCGUAUAAAAGAUCCGAAUAAUAAUAAAAAAGUCAUUAAGUUCCCUUUUAUCAAACCUCUGUCGAAUAAAAUAAAUAAAUGUUUUAAAAAUACUAACGUCAAACUAGUAUUUUAUAACAUAGUGAAAAUUAAUUCCAUAUAUACGAAACUAAAGAACAAGGUCGAUAAAUUAGAACAAUCGAACUUAAUGUACAAGAUACCAUGUGAAUGUGAUAAGUGUUAUAUAGGACAAACGAAACAAAAACUCAAAAAAAGAUUAGACCAACAUAGAAAUGACUGUAAACCUACUAAUGUACAAAAAACCAAUACCACCGCGUUAGAUGAGCAUCAUUUCACUAGAGGACAUAAAUUUAAAUUUGAUAAAGCAACUAUUUUAGAUAGAGAAGACAACUGGUACAAAAGAAAUAUAAGCGAAAUGUACCACGUAAUAAAUAAUAAUACAGUAAAUUACAGAACGGACACGAACAAUUUAAACAGUAUUUAUAACGAAAUUUUAAAAUUUAAUUAUCGUAAUAAGACAUAACAGUAGAGGACAUCAUAAUAUUGAGGAUAUCUAGAUUAUUAAACAUUCUCCGUUCGAUCGUUAGUAGCACAGAAAAACAAGCAGAAACUUUCGCACAAACCUAGAAAACAUAUUCAAAGCACACAACUUCAAUAUUCAUACGUGCACAGACACUAACGUAAAUGACGUCGGAAGCAAAACACAA